rnacentral:rRNA from 1 species
GUGUCAGCAGCCGCGGUAAUACGUAGGUGGCAAGCGUUGUCCGGAUUUACUGGGCGUAAAGAGCGCGCAGGCGGUCAGCCAAGUCGAAUGUGAAAGCCCCCGGCUCAACUGGGGAGGGUCAUUCGAUACUGGCCGACUCGAAGGCAGGAGAGGGAAGCGGAAUUCCCGGUGUAGUGGUGAAAUGCGUAGAUAUCGGGAGGAACACCAGUGGCGAAGGCGGCUUCCUGGCCUGUUCUUGACGCUGAGGCGCGAAAGCUAGGGGAGCAAACGGGAUUAGAAACCCUCGUAGUCC